CCUACGGGCGGCAGCAGUGGGGAAUAUUGGACAAUGGGCGAAAGCCUGAUCCAGCCAUGCCGCGUGUGUGAAGAAGGCCUUCGGGUUGUAAAGCACUUUCAGUGGGGAAGAAAGCCUUGGGGCUAAUACCCUCGAGGAAGGACAUCACCCACAGAAGAAGCACCGGCUAACUCCGUGCCAGCAGCCGCGGUAAUACGGAGGGUGCGAGCGUUAAUCGGAAUUACUGGGCGUAAAGCGCGCGUAGGUGGUCUGAUAAGCCGGUUGUGAAAGCCCCGGGCUCAACCUGGGAACGGCAUCCGGAACUGUCAGGCUAGAGUGCAGGAGAGGAAGGUAGAAUUCCCGGUGUAGCGGUGAAAUGCGUAGAGAUCGGGAGGAAUACCAGUGGCGAAGGCGGCCUUCUGGACUGACACUGACGCUGAGGUGCGAAAGCGUGGGUAGCAAACAGGAUUAGAUACCCUAGUAGUC
rnacentral:rRNA from 1 species